UUCAACACUUGGGCAUCCACUUCUGCAGAGCAUCCAAACCCUGUUUCAAGGACUCAGUACAGUCUUUACAUCUGCUCUGGAACUGGAUGAGACCUCUGUGACCUCUACAUCAUGUGACAGUGUAGUGUGUCACCAGCCGGUUGCAUGUACGAGGCCGCACAUGAGUUUAGGGGGGGAACCUGUAACCUGCAAUUAGUAAUGGACUUUUAUUUUUGCGGGCCCACUUCCUGUUUGCCCCAAACUCCGCUAGCUUAUUUAAAGCCACGCCUCCAGCGCGCAGUUUAAAGAUCCUCACCUGUUUCCACUGUGGCUGUGGCUUGUUGUUGGCGUCUUCUUCACGGAGUCAUCAAAAUCUUUAAGCCCACUGAUUUGAUUGCCUGAAUUAUUGGCGUUGUUACCUGGAUGUCACCGGGGUUCUGGCACAGCUGAUUGUGGCUGGGCGUGCCCACUCUCUUGAUAAGGUCGGGUUUUUUUUUUUCCGGUUGGAUCAGAUCCUCAUCAGGAUUUGAAGAUGGCGAGCUAAGGAAAAGAACUCUGAACUUAAUGAUUUUGCAAUUAAUUUAUUCUGGGUCAAUUGUCUUGUCUCAUUGUGUUGUUGUAAUUGUUGUUUUAUUCAAAUCACUUAAUAUAUAUUCACCAAAACUAAAAACACUGCCUCCUGUUUUCUCCACACCUCGGGCUCCUAAAAGAACACUCUUCUGAUGCUGCUUUGGUAGCCGCAGUUAGCUGCCUAGCCCAUAAC